CCUACGGGUGGCAGCAGUGGGGAAUAUUGCACAAUGGGCGCAAGCCUGAUGCAGCGACGCCGCGUGGGGGAUGAAGGCCUUCGGGUUGUAAACUCCUUUCGCUAGGGACGAAGCUUUUUGUGACGGUACCUAGAUAAGAAGCACCGGCUAACUACGUGCCAGCAGCCGCGGUAAUACGUAGGGUGCGAGCGUUGUCCGGAAUUACUGGGCGUAAAGGGCUCGUAGGUGGUUUGUCGCGUCGUCUGUGAAAUGCUGGGGCUUAACUCCGGGCGUGCAGGCGAAGAGGUCAUAACUGGAGUGCUAUAGGGGUAACUGGAAGUCCUGGUGUAGCGGUAAAAUGCGCAGAUAUGAGGAUGAACACCGAUGGCGAAGGCAGGUUACUGGGCAGUUACUGACGCUGAGGAGCGAAGGCAUGGGUAGCGAACAGGAUUAGAUACCCCUGUAGUC
rnacentral:rRNA from 1 species